rnacentral:ncRNA from 1 species
UCCUUAUCAAGAGAGACCGAGGGACUGGCCCUAUGACGUUUCAGCAACCACAUGUUUCAUUCGCAUGUAAGGUGCUAAAUCCAGCAGAACUAUGUUCUGGAAGAUGAGGG